UCCGAGUUGACCCCGGCAGUCUCCCACGAGUCCCCACCAUUACGUGCUGGCAACAUAGGAUAAGGGUUGCGCUCGUUGCGGGACUUAACCCAACAUCUCACGACACGAGCUGACGACAGCCAUGCACCACCUGCACACAGGCCACAAGGGAACCGACAUCUCUGCCGGAAUCCUGUGCAUGUCAAACCCAGGUAAGGUUCUUCGCGUUGCAUCGAAUUAAUCCACAUGCUCCACCGCUUGUGCGGGUCCCCGUCAAUUCCUUUGAGUUUCGGCCUUGCGGCCGUACUCCCCAGGCGGCGGACUUAAUGCGUUAGCUGCGGCACAGAGGGCAUGACGCCCCCCACACCUAGUCCGCACCGUUUACAGCGUGGACUAC
rnacentral:misc_RNA from 1 species